rnacentral:rRNA from 1 species
UGGGGAAUAUUGCACAAUGGGCGAAAGCCUGAUGCAGCAACGCCGCGUGAGUGAUGAAGGCCUUCGGGUUGUAAAGCUCUGUCUUUUGGGACGAUAAUGACGGUACCAAAGGAGGAAGCCACGGCUAACUACGUGCCAGCAGCCGCGGUAAUACGUAGGUGGCAAGCGUUGUCCGGAUUUACUGGGCGUAAAGGAUGCGUAGGCGGAUUUUUAAGUGAGAUGUGAAAACCCUAAGCUUAACUUGGGGACUGCAUUUCAUACUGGAAAUCUAGAGUGCGGGAGAGGAGAAAUGGAAUUCCUAGUGUAGCGGUGAAAAUGCGUAGAGAUUAGGAAGAACACCAGUGGCGAAGGCGAUUCUCUGGACCGUAACUGACGCUGAGGCAUGAAAGCGUGGGUAGCAAACAGGAUUAGAUACCCUGGUAGUCCACGCCGUAAACGAUGAGUACUAGGUGUAGGAGGUAUCGACCCCUUCUGUGCCGCAGUUAACACAAUAAGUACUCCGCCUGGGAAGUACGAAUCGCAAGAUUAAAAACUCAAAGGAAUUGACGGGGGUCAUAGCUGUUUUUCCCU